UACGAAGGGGGCUAGCGUUGUUCGGAAGUGACUGGGCGUAAAGGGCGCGUAGGCGGUUCAUACAGUCAGAUGUGAAAUUCCUGGGCUCAACCUGGGGGGCUGCAUUUGAUACGUGUGGACUAGAGUGGGGAAGAGGGUCGUGGAAUUCCCAGUGUAGAGGUGAAAAUUCGGUAGAUAUUGGGAAGAACACCGGUGGGCGAAG
rnacentral:rRNA from 1 species